rnacentral:rRNA from 1 species
CCUACGGGUGGCUGCAGUGAGGAAUAUUGGUCAAUGGGCGGGAGCCUGAACCAGCCAAGUCGCGUGAGGGAAGACGGUCCUACGGAUUGUAAACCUCUUUUGCCGGGGAGCAACGGGGUCCUUGCGAGGGCCCAAUGAGAGUACCCGGAGAAAAAGCAUCGGCUAACUCCGUGCCAGCAGCCGCGGUAAUACGGAGGCUGCGAGCGUUAUCCGGAUUUAUUGGGUUUAAAGGGUGCGUAGGUUGUUUUUUAAGUCAGCGGUGAAAGUUUGUGGCUCAACCAUAAAAUUGCCGUUGAAACUGGAAGACUUGAGUGUGUUUGAGGUAGGCGGAAUGCGUGGUGUAGCGGUGAAAUGCAUAGAUAUCACGCAGAACUCCGAUUGCGAAGGCAGCUUACUAAGCCAUAACUGACACUGAAGCACGAAAGCGUGGGGAUCAAACAGGAUUAGAUACCCUUGUAGUC